GACGAACGCUGGCGGCGUGCUUAACACAUACAAGUCGAACGAAGAGCGAUGGAAGCUUGCUUCUAUCAAUCUUAGUGGCGAACGGGUGAGUAACGCGUAAUCAACCUGCCCUUCAGAGGGGGACAACAGUUGGAAACGACUGCUAAUACCGCAUACGAUCUAAUCUCGGCAUCGAGGAAAGAUGAAAGGUGGCCUCUAUUUAUAAGCUAUCACUGAAGGAGGGGAUUGCGUCUGAUUAGCUAGUUGGAUGGGUAACGGCCCACCAAGGCGAUGAUCAGUAGCCGGUCUGAGAGGACGAACGGCCACAUUGGGACUGAGACACGGCCCAGACUCCUACGGGAGGCAGCAGUGGGGAAUCUUCCGCAAUGGACGAAAGUCUGACGGAGCAACGCCGCGUGAGUGAUGACGGCCUUCGGGUUGUAAAGCUCUGUUAAUCGGGACGAAAGGCCUUCUUGCGAACAGUUAGAAGGAUUGACGGUACCGGAAUAGAAAGCCACGGCUAACUACGUG
rnacentral:rRNA from 1 species